AUUGAACGCUGGCGGCAUGCCUUACACAUGCAAGUCGAACGGUAACGGGCCUUCGGGUGCCGACGAGUGGCGAACGGGUGAGUAAUGUAUCGGAACGUACCUUUCAGUGGGGGAUAGCGUAGCGAAAGUUACGCUAAUACCGCAUAUUCUGUGAGCAGGAAAGCAGGGGAUCGCAAGACCUUGCGCUGAUUGAGCGGCCGAUAUCAGAUUAGCUAGUUGGUGAGGUAAAGGCUCACCAAGGCGACGAUCUGUAGCGGGUCUGAGAGGAUGAUCCGCCACACUGGAACUGAGACACGGUCCAGACUCCUACGGGAGGCAGCAGUGGGGAAUUUUGGACAAUGGGGGGCAACCCUGAUCCAGCCAUGCCGCGUGAGUGAAGAAGGCCUUCGGGUUGUAAAGCUCUUUCGGCCGGGAAGAAAUCGUAUCAGCUAAUACCUGGUGCGGAUGACGGUACCGGCAUAAGAAGCACCGGCUAACUACGUGUCAGCAGCCGCAGUAAGAC
rnacentral:rRNA from 1 species